CAGCUGUCUUACAUAGGAAUUACCACAGGGACCUUAGAUCAAAGACUAAAAGAGCAUCACUAGGAAAAACUCAACAACUUUAAUAUAGCUAACGUUUUCGGUGCCUUAAUUGCACCCUCCUCAGGCUGCAUAUGAUAACAAACAAUAACAGAAAAAUAAGUGAAUAGGUUCUAUUCACUUAUUUAAUUUUCUGUUAUCGUUUGUUAUCAAAAAGUGUAAGAAAGUUAUCAUAGUGCACACUAAUCUUGAUAUAAACCUUGAAAUAGAGCAAGCUCAGCUUAAAAUGGCAAUCUAUAAGAAGCCUAUGCACCAACAAGUACUUAUACCCAGAUGGACCCCAGACCUGCCAUCUUACAGAAAAGCUGCCUUUUGGUUGCUUUUCAAAAGAGCGUUUCUAUACUUCUCUGACCACCAAGACCUGAACAGUGAAAUUAGUUACAUUUACAAAAUUGGUUAUCAGCACGGAUACCCAAAAAGUUUCAUAAGAGCCAUACAUAACCAAAUCCAAUGGCCGGCAAUACCAAAACUGUUUACAACAUCUCAGCCAACUACAAGCGCU
rnacentral:lncRNA from 1 species